GUGAGAGUCUCGUAUCAUAUUAUCCAUGGCAGCGGUAACAACAACAACAGCAUCAGAAUAUAUCAUCUCGGGAAAUAAAAUACCAUAUCAGUCUGUGUCUAUGUCUGCGUUUGCUGUGCUUGAGAAAUGAGAUUCAAAUUAACACUACUACAGGCGGAGAAACCAAAAUGCGAGGAAUUUGCUACAGCAACGAAACAAUUUGUUUUGAGGGCAAAACAGCUCAGAGAGUGUAUGUGAUAUGUUGCGACAUCUGUAACUAACGAAUUCAUACUUUUAUGUAACUGGGACUGUAGGGGAGGUAAGCAGCCGCAAUCGAUUUCUACUGGUGUCCAACACCAGCCUCGAAAUCCAAGGCUGAAUAACUCUUGGCAACAGUACUCUCGACGAACAAAAGCCAAACUCUACUAGUCCUGUCCUGCAAUAUGGUGGCGAAGAGAAAAAACGACUGUCAAGCUGUUGGUAACCAUCCAAGAAGAAGAUGGCCUUAAACAUAUAUUUUUUGACAUUGAAAUAAGAGAGACAAUGAAAUAAGAGAUUGGGUGGGGCAAAGGUAUUCCAUCAAUACAUUUAGCCAUAAGAGUCAUUGCGCUAUUACUUGCUCGCGGCAGACGAUUUUCAUCGCCGUUAUCUUCUACUCCAAUAACUCUAUUAUAUUCCUUUUCGUCACACAAAAUCAAUACGAACUUUUGAUCCUGAGUGAAUCCCCGACUUCUUAGUUAUAAACUUUUUAAAGAGACAUCAUUAUGACCGGGGUCUUGGAAAUGACCUCGACCUGUAUAUUUAAUGUGAAAAAAUAGACACCUAAAGCCAAAGUUUUCGUAUAAUUUUCGUACAUACGACCUUUUGGUCGACGAUUACAAUUUACUAAACUAUUUUUCAAAAAACUAUUAAUUUAAGGAAGAAGAUUUCUAUUUCAAUUAAAAUUUUCUUCACUACUAUAGCCCCUUAUAAAUUUUUAAUUUCUUUCACAUGAAAUUUUAAAUUUCUUAACUUUAUUUUCAAUUUUUAUGCUGACAUUUGCAUUUUUCUCUAUUACUUUUUCGUUUUUUCACCAAAGUCGUUGAGGAAGGAGUCGUCGCCAUCUAUCAUUACUGUGCCAUAUUUGCCUAGUGUUCUAAAGUGCAUAUAUGUAUAUUAAAUAAUACAAUUUUACAAAAAAAGUAUACAAAACUUACUUCAAUUUGUCCAUUUCAACGUCCUUUAGAAACAUUCGAUUUUCCAUCCACUUCCACUUCUUUUUGGCGAAUCUGCCCCACUUGCCGAUGGUCUUUUAAGUCUUUGUAAAAAUUGUUGCGUAGGUUCCGCCAACUGGUCUUCAGCUUCUCUCUUAAAAAUAUUAAAAACAUGCAUUAAUAUGAACUUUCUGUUAGGUUAUAAAAUAAAAGAUUUACUGAAGUAUCUAAUUUCUCCGUAAACUCUUGAAAUUUGGCGUCUCUCAGGCAGUUAUUUUUAUAAUUACGAUAGCUUUUAUCGUAUAGAAACCUGUUUUCGCUAACAAAUUGAAUUAGUUUUUGUUCAAUUUUUUUAGAUAUUUCGUUUGUUUUCAAUGAACAACUGAAAAAUUAAUUACUUUCCUGCAAGACGAGUAACUGUUAGCAAACGUGUAAGCGACUUGUUAUGCAUUCGUUAAAAUAUUUGUUACUUUUGUCCAGAGAGUGUGAAAAAAGUAACACAUAGCUAUUUGAUGCUCAAAGGUUAUCUCGCUCUAACCAAUGGAAAAUAUCGCAUGCUGCCUUGUUCUAACAGAAUACAUACAUUUGUUAGCAAAUCUCUUUACAGUAUGAUACGGGUAAUAAAUUCUUUUGUUAGCGCAUAGCUUACCUAUGUGUUAGGGAUAACAAAGAGUAUUUGUUACCCGAAUGAUUGUUAGUGUUAUUAUUUUAUAUUAUCAGUUUAUUACCUUUAACAUAUAAACAUUGUUUCGUCAAGCGACAUUUCUAUAUUUAAAACAAAAUAAUGAAAUGAAUUGUAAAAUUGAAUUGUUAAAAAUUAUUUUAAGAAAAUCGAUUACAAAAUACUUACCUUAAUAAUGCAUUCAUAAUACCAAUCGACUACUUACCUUAAUACUUACCAUAAUCUGUUACAAUAUUUAACGAAAGUUGAAAAGGAUUAUACUUCCCCCUUUUUAAUACAUAUUUAUAUUACCACUAGUUUAAGCCGUUAGUUUUAAGAUUUAGGCUUGGCAAUUAGAUUAAGAAAAAAAGAACUCUCUAAUGCAAUUGAACCGUGGAA